rnacentral:misc_RNA from 1 species
AAGCGGCCGUAGCUGCCGUGCGUUGUAGGCGCUGCUCCGCUGGCCUGCUAGCAGCAGCAGCAGCAGCAGGAGCAGGUGUGGCGUUUGCUCCGUCCGAAUGCGACCGACGUCCGCGAGGCUCUAGCGGUUCCGUUCAGUCGUUAAAUUAGUCGCAAAGUCAGGCGGGCUGCCGUUCCGCCCGGUGGGAACCGAGUCGAUCGUCGCCGUCACCGGCUCCAUCGGGCAGCAGCAGCGGUUUUCACUUGCUGCUCUUCCUCUGCGCGCUCUCCCCGGUACCUGUUCCGUUGUGGCCUCCGUGGCUGCGGCGGUUUGGAUCUGGGUGUCGUUAGCGCCGCCGGUUGCAGUCGACCCUGCCGCCGUGGCAGUAGUCGCAGUGGCGCUGAAGAAGCUGCGGCUAACGUCGACGAGGUUCACAAAACAGACGUUCGACCUCGAGCAUCGAGGACGGCUCGUCCCCGGUUGGAAAAAGAAAAAGCAGAAUAAGCAGAGCAAACGGCGUCGUCCUACUACGCAUGCUGAUGUGCCUUCGACACGCAGACACUGCUGUCGGCGCAAUCAGCGCUAGUAGCAUUAGUACUGCUGCUGUACGCGCAGGAAAGUA